rnacentral:rRNA from 1 species
AGAACUAGCUUGCUAGUUGCUGACGAGUGGCGGACGGGUGAGUAAUGUAUAGGAACUUGCCUAGUAGUGGGGGACAACGUGUGGAAACGCACGCUAAUACCGCAUAAGCUCUACGGAGGAAAACGGGGGAUCUUCGGACCUCGUGCUACUAGAUGGGCCUAUAUUGGAUUAGCUAGUUGGUAAGGUAAAGGCUUACCAAGGCGACGAUCCAUAGCUGGUUUGAGAGAAUGAUCAGCCACACUGGGACUGAGACACGGCCCAGACUCCUACGGGAGGCAGCAGUGGGGAAUAUUGCACAAUGGAGGAAACUCUGAUGCAGCAAUGCCGCGUGUGUGAAGAAGGCCUUAGGGUUGUAAAGCACUUUCAGACGUGAGGAAAAGUUAUCUAUUAAUACUAGGUAGCCCUGACGUUAACGUCAGAAGAAGCACCGGCUAACUCCGUGCCAGCAGCCGCGGUAAUACGGAGGGUGCAAGCGUUAAUCGGAAUUACUGGGCGUAAAGCGCGCGUAGGCGGUUAAAUAAGUCAGAUGUGAAAUCCCUGGGCUCAACCUAGGAACUGCAUUUGAAACUGUUUGGCUAGAGUAUGGUAGAGGUGAGUGGAAUUUCAGGUGUAGCGGUGAAAUGCGUAGAGAUCUGAAGGAACAUCAGUGGCGAAGGCGACUCACUGGGCCAUUACUGACGCUGAGGUGCGAAAGCGUGGGUAGCAAACAGGAUUAGAUACCCUGGUAGUCCACGCCCUAAACGAUGUCAACUAGGUGUGUGAGAGUCUAACUCUUGCGUAUCGAAGCUAACGCGAUAAGUUGACCGCCUGGGGAGUACGGCCGCAAGGCUAAAACUCAAAU